UGGGGAAUCUUCCGCAAUGGACGAAAGUCUGACGGAGCAACGCCGCGUGAGUGAUGACGGCCUUCGGGUUGUAAAGCUCUGUUAAUCGGCACGAAUGGUUCUUGUGCGAAUAGUGCAAGGAUUUGACGGUACCGGAAUAGAAAGCCACGGCUAACUACGUGCCAGCAGCCGCGGUAAUACGUAGGUGGCAAGCGUUGUCCGGAAUUAUUGGGCGUAAAGCGCGCGCAGGCGGAUUGGUCAGUCUGUCUUAAAAGUUCGGGGCUUAACCCCGUGAUGGGAUGGAAACUGCCAAUCUAGAGUAUCGGAGAGGAAAGUGGAAUUCCUAGUGUAGCGGUGAAAUGCGUAGAUAUUAGGAAGAACACCAGUGGCGAAGGCGACUUUCUGGACGAAAACUGACGCUGAGGCGCGAAAGCCAGGGGAGCGAACGGG
rnacentral:rRNA from 1 species